AUGGAUUAUAAAGCUGAACAAGAGACCGAGAAAGAGGGUUUAGCUCUUUUAUAUGAACAUAUGAAUGAAUUUGACAAUAUUGAUGAUAAUAGCUUUAAAAUAUUACUUGAAAACAAAGCUAAACAAAUUUCUUUUUAUAUUUUAUUUGAAUAUACUGAGAAAUACCCUGAUGAGGCACCAAAAUACAAAAUUGUAGAAGAUAAAAAUUUAACGGAGGUUUUAAGAAAAAAUAUAGAAAGGCACAUUGAAGAAACUAUUGCAAAUAAUUUAGGUUAUAGUAUGAUUUAUAAUAUAGUUGAGGACAUUCGGACAUAUAUUACAGAAGACAUAGAAGAAAAGUCCAUGUAUGACGAAAUGGUCGAAAGACAAGGUAAAUUAGAUGAGGAAGAAAAUAGUGAAGAUCUGGAUGAUGAUCAAAAUCAAACAGAUACCAUUGAAAAUGUUUUAGAGUCAAAGGAAUUAGUUGACGAAAGGUAUCGAGUGACGGAUAAAGAAUUUGAAGCUUGGAGAAAAGAAUUUUAUAAAGACAUAUUUAUAGGAAUAAACAACAUUAACAAUUCAGAAAACCCAACAGGAAGAGAGUUGUUUGAAAAGGGAAAAAUUAAUAUAUUAGACACUGAUUUUGAAGAAGGUACUAUUUAGUUGAAUAGUAUAUUACGCCCUUUUAUUUACUUUAUUUACUUUAUUUAUUUAUUCAUUUAUUCAUUUAUUUAUUCAUUUAUUCAUUUAUUUAUUCAUUUAUUUUAUUUAAUUAAACAGUUUUGUUAAAUGCUAUUAUAUUCUUGGUAUUAAUAUGU
rnacentral:lncRNA from 1 species